rnacentral:lncRNA from 1 species
AAAUUGUCCCCAAAUGAGCAAAGUGAUCACUAUGUUUCUCCCUGUCUCCCUAGGCCCCAAACACACUAAGGAGCCUUUCACGUAAAUGCCAAGCUAAAGUGCCACUCCAGGGCGUGGUGGGUACUGCCACUGAAGUGUUUGUACAUCGAAUAACAAGAAGAUUCCACCAAAAGUCUGUAAAAAGGGGUGAGAAAACUGAUGUGGCUGUGACCCUAGCUUUGGCCUUGAAGUGAUUAUGAAAUGGAGGAAGAAAUUUGACUCUCCAAAUGACCAACAGGAGCUCAACAGGCAUCCUCCCCACUCAAGGGAGCCUUGUAGCCAACUUACUGAUUUGCCACCAGGCCCUGCAAGAUGAUUGCCAUAAAGAAAAUCCUUUGGAAAAGAAGAGCAUACCUUCUAAGGAAGAAAUGGUCCAUGCAUUUGGGCUGGCAACUCACAAAAGAGAUGCCGCCUGACACUGGGACGGAUUUCAAGUCUGAGAAAACCGCUGGGGUUUCCCAACACGCCCAGCCCACCGCGCUCCAUUCACCGGCCGCCCCGUCUUGGCGGAGGUCAUCCUUUCGGUCGCGAAGAUGACUUUACAAGUCUCAGUUGUAUCAAUUAAAGCACCGCGAUGUGAGAGAGGCCCCGUUUUAUUUCUCAGGUGUCUUUACUGGCUGAAAUAUGGACUCCUCUGCCACUCGUGGCCUUCUUCGCGGCCCUUGCUGCCUCCCUCCUGUGUAUUUGUGCAUGUUUUUGUUACGGCGUGCUUUCGUCUAGAUUUGAGUAAUAUGUCCCUCUGACUGUCCACUCUCUUCCCCAGAGACAGCGAGCUCCUUAUGAGCGGGCAAGGAGCCUCAUCGGCGUGUGUGCACAUCUCCCAGGCCUGCUACAGCUCAGUAAAUAUGCUUAUUAAACUCAGCUAACCCUCCACCUCGCCCCUACCAUCACCUUUCAGACUGCAUUGGAAUUUGGGUAUCUUCUAUAAUCAUCCUAGUUUGUCUGUAAUUCCCAAGAAUUUAUGACUCUGUGUUAAAAAAAGAAAUGUAGAAAAGGAAACGCCAAUACAACAAGCACUCUUAGCUGUCAGAGAGCCCUGCUUUGCUUUCAUUGAGCAUUUGUAGAGUGUCACUAGAUUUUCCUACACUUGGAAUUUUUUUUUUAAUUAGAUUUUCUCUAGCUUGAUCUUCAGUUCUAAAUGUUUCUUAGAGUGCUUUUCAAUUUCCAAAGGACUUCAUCAAUUUCACAGAGUAUAGGUCCAAUGUACACAAUAAAAUCCUUUGCUCUUUUACA